rnacentral:rRNA from 1 species
GAUGAACGCUGGCGGCGUGCCUAAUACAUGCAAGUCGAGCGAACGGACGAGAAGCUUGCUUCUCUGAUGUUAGCGGCGGACGGGUGAGUAACACGUGGAUAACCUACCUAUAAGACUGGGAUAACUUCGGGAAACCGGAGCUAAUACCGGAUAAUAUUUUGAACUGCAUGGUUCAAAAGUGAAAGACGGUCUUGCUGUCACUUAUAGAUGGAUCCGCGCUGCAUUAGCUAGUUGGUAAGGUAACGGCUUACCAAGGCAACGAUGCAUAGCAGACCUGAGAGGGUGAUCGGCCACACUGGAACUGAGACACGGUCCAGACUCCUACGGGAGGCAGCAGUAGGGAAUCUUCCGCAAAGGGCGAAAGCCUGACGGAGCAACGCCGCGUGAGUGAUGAAGGUCUUCGGAUCGUAAAACUCUGUUAUUAGGGAAGAACAUAUGUGUAAGUAACUGUGCACAUCUUGACGGUACCUAAUCAGAAAGCCACGGCUAACUACGUG